CCUACGGGUGGCAGCAGUGAGGAAUAUUGGUCAAUGGCCGAGAGGCUGAACCAGCCAAGUCGCGUGAGGGAAGACGGCCCUCCGGGUUGUAAACCUCUUUUGUCGGGGAGCAAAGAGAGUCGCGUGUGACUCAUAGAGACUACCCGAAGAAAAAGCAGCGGUUAACUCGGAGCCAGCGGCGGCGGGAAUAGGCGGGAGCCGAGCGUUAUCGGGGUUUAUUGGGGGGAAAGGGUGCGCAUACGGCGGUGCAUGUCAGCGGUAAAAUUGAGGGGCUCACCCCCGUACUGCAGUUGAAACUGCAUGCCUUGAGUGCGCGAGAGGAAUGCGGAAUGCGUGGUGUAGCGGUGAAAUGCGUAGAUAUCACGAAGAACUCCGAUGGCGAAGGCAGCAUUCCGGCGCGCAACUGACGCUGAUGCACGAAAGCGUGGGUAUCGAACAGGAUUAGAUACCCGGGUAGUC
rnacentral:rRNA from 1 species